rnacentral:lncRNA from 1 species
AGGAUCAAGUAAAGAAGAAGUCGAGCUCCUCCAUCUUCAAAACUCGUUUGAGGGCUUCUCUUUACUCUAUUUGUUUAUAUUGUCAUAUCUGCUUGCUUAAGAAGCUUUGAUUUGUUCUUAUUCUUUGUUUUAAUAUCUUGUAACUUGAUUCAAUCAAGGGAUUGAAUCAAGGGGUUAAAGGUUUGUUGGUGAGCCAAAGGGAAAACCAACGGUGUAAGGUUUGUUGGUGAGCCAAAGGAAAAACCAACGGGAUUAAGGUUUGUUGGUGAGCCAAAGGAAAAACCAACGGGAUUAAGGUUUGUUGGUGAGCCGAGGGUAAAACCAACGUGUAAGGGUUUGAUUGUGAGCCCGGGAAAACAAUCGGGGUUGGUUCUAGUCGGUGAGCCUGGGAAAACCGACCGAGUUCGUUGUGCGCUCGUAAACCAACAAGUUGGGUUGUGAGCUUGUAAAACAACCGACUGUAAUCUGUAGGAUUAUAGUGAAAUUUCCAAGAAGUCUUGGGGAGUGGAUGUAGGUGCUGGGGUGCACCGAACCACUAUAUGUUUGCUGUGUUUAUAAUGUUUUUUUGUCAUUAUCUAACUCACACACUUACUCACUUAGAUAAAUUGCUUGCUUAACUAUUAUCCGCGAAUUCUUUAGUUGCAAGCAUACUCAAUCAAGUCACAUUCUAUACAUCAAACUGUCGCUAAGUUUAACUUUCACUACGC